rnacentral:misc_RNA from 1 species
GAAAUGCGAUAAGUAAUGUGAAUUGCCGAAUUCAGUGAAUCAUCGAAUCUUUGAACGCACCUUGCGCUCCUUGGUAUUCCUUGGAGCAUGCCUGUUUGAGUAUCAUGAAAUCUUCAAAGUAAAUCUUUUGUUAACUCAAUUGGUUUCUACUUUGGUAUUGGAGGUCUUUGCAGCUUCACACCUGCUCCUCUUUGUUCAUUAGCUGGAUCUCAGUGUUAUGCUUGGUUCCACUCGGCGUGAUAAGUUAUCUAUCGCUGAGGACACUGUAAAAGGUGGCCAAGGUAAAUGCAGAUGAACCGCUUCUAAUAGUCCAUUGACUUGGACAAUACUUUUAUGAUCUGAUCUCAAGUCAGGUAGGACUACCCGCUGAACUUAAGC